AGUGAACGCUGGCGGUAGGCCUAACACAUGCAAGUCGAACGGCAGCACAGUAAGAGCUUGCUCUUACGGGUGGCGAGUGGCGGACGGGUGAGGAAUACAUCGGAAUCUACUUUUUCGUGGGGGAUAACGUAGGGAAACUUACGCUAAUACCGCAUACGACCUACGGGUGAAAGCAGGGGAUCUUCGGACCUUGCGCGAUUGAAUGAGCCGAUGUCGGCUUAGCUAGUUGGCGGGGUAAAGGCCCACCAAGGCGACGAUCCGUAGCUGGUCUGAGAGGAUGAACAGCCAGACUGGAACUGAGACACGGUCCAGACUCCUACGGGAGGCAGCGGUGGGGAAUAUUGGACGAUGGGGGAAAGCCUGAUCCAGCCAUACCGCGUGAGUGAAGAAGGCCUUCGGGUUGGAAAGCCCUUUUGUUGGGAAAGAAAAGCAGCAGGUUAAUACGCCGCUGUUCUGACGGUACCCAAAGAAUAAGCACCGGCUAACUUCGUG
rnacentral:rRNA from 1 species